rnacentral:lncRNA from 1 species
UGCUUCGAUCUCAUUUUCCAAAUCUCAUUUCGUUAUAACCAAAUAUGCCUCGUUCGAGGUGUUACAGUUCAUUAGGAAUUUCAUGGGACACCUAGUGUACCUUGUUAUAAGCGAAAUCUUGUAAUACCAGUGUUCGUUAUAGAGAGAAUAUACUGUAUUAUACAGUAAUAGCCAAAAGUCCUCUCGUAUCGUUUAAACGGCUAUACUUAUAAUAGUGUUUAUAGGGAAGAAGUAAAUGGAUGUAGACUUGUCAACUAGACUCAACAGUGACAUAAUAGUCAUCGAUGGCGUAACAGGGCCACUGUGGCCAAUAAUUUUUAAAUGAGACCUUGUAAGUGAUAUCUCGUUUGAAAGUUAUUAAAAAUACCUAUUCAGUCAUACUCAUUUUGUUUGGGUUUAGCUGAUUUUGAUGAAUACAUUAGAAAAUUAUAGUUGCAUUUAAUUAAUAAAUAUUCAAACGUCCGUAUUGGAAUAUGUUUUUGUAAUGUUCAUAUAAACCACCCUUUAGGUUGUUAUUUAAAAUGUAUAUAAAAAAAAUAAGUAGGUAGUUGUUGAUAAAAAAGUUGAUGUAGUUGUUGAAUAAAAAAAAGCAGUUUUUAUGAAAAGUCAAAUCUCUAGUUCUUUCUUAAAUUAAAUAUAUAAAAUCUAAUAGGUUAUGUACUUAACUACUGCAUAUAUUUAGUUUAAAGUAUCGGUGUGUCCGAAAAAGCAAGGAAGUAUAUUUAAAGACUUUGCUGGUGUGUCCGAAGUAUAAGGGUUUGAAAGAAAGAACUAGACCCAGUGAAAGAAAGAACUAGAGUGGCGUGUGUCGCCGGAAAUUUGAA